ensembl:lncRNA ZNF496-DT ZNF496 divergent transcript
GCCCACGUGCGGAGUCCCCGGGUUAGGAAAGGCCGCGCAUCCGGAGGCCACGCAGAGCCUCGGGGCUUGCGCAGAGGGGCUGCGGUGAGUCCUGACCCUGAGUGGGGGUCACGGGGCUCGUUGCUCGCUGAAGUGAACACGGUUGCAGCUGUGCACAGUGGCGGAGGGAGAGGAUGAGGGACUCUGACCCAAGGUUAUGUGGCAGUGAGGGGCAAGCAGAAAUGGGGGCCUCCGGACCCCACCCCGAGACAGGGCUGCUGGCCGCUGCACUAUGCUGAAUAUAGCCCAAAUUCUUACAUGGGUCGUCCCCGGGGAAUGCUCAUUUUUCAGGCUCCAGAGCUUGAGAGAAAGUGCGAACCCGGUCCCUGAGCAGGUCUGAUUCCCAUGGCCCCUUCGCCAUCUGCUCUGCACCGAAAUUGGAUUCUCCUACGCAGAGGAGAAGGUGGAGAAGAUUCUCCGUCUUCCGGAGGGUAGCUACUGCCGGUAGCUCCGAUUUCCUUCGGAUCCCCUUUCAAGGGCAAGCAGAAGGAAAUCAGUUUCUCCAAAGAAAGUGGCCCGGCUGAGUAAGUGGGAACAAGGUGGUUGGACUGAGGCACGGGAUCCUUUAGCUCCGUUGCUCUUCUAAUCCCGUGGCCCUGGGCACCGCCACUUCCUCCUCUGAACUGCUGGAAUAAUCACUUCUGACUAGCAGAGUUACUGGGAGCCGCUGUUUGUCAGUGUUCACAUUCUGACUUUAGCAGGAGAUGGAGCGAGCGAAGGAGUGAAGCCCUUGUUUGUGAACAGUGAUUGUUUCCCGGAUGACAGCCAGAUGCCGGGCAGGGCCACGCAGAUCUUAGCUGGAGCCUACAGGUACAAGUGAGAGCCACCCCCUUUGACGUAACUGGACUGGCAUUUACAGAACUCAUGUACAGCCCACUCUCAGGAACACCAGCCAGGAACCGUGACAUGGAGGAGAGGAAUUGGGAGGAACCGAGGGGUCAUCAAAGGCUGACAUGCCUUUCGCCCUCCGCCAUGAUUCUGAGGCCUCCCCAACCAUGCGGAACUGUUGGGUUUCAGCCGAGCAAGUCUGAGGCCCCUUUCCCGCGCCCUCUGGUGGAAAGUGUUCGCUUUUCUGUCCACCCAUGUGAAGGAUUCACCCCGACCCUCCUCAGGUGGCCUUUACUUUGCAGGAGCAAAGCAAGGGUCUCACUUCACUCCCCAGACUGAAGUUCCAUGGCAUGAUCAUGGCUCUCUGCAGCCUCAACUUCCCAGCCUCAAGCAACCCUCCCAUCUCAGCCUCCUGAGUUGCUGGAACCACAGCUCCAGGACUCUACCUCUCAUCAAGGCUGACCAGAAGCAAGAUGAUGGAAGCCAAGAGAGCUCCUCUGCAUGCUCCACUGUCUAAGCUCUGCUCUGCAUCUGCCGUGAUUCUUCUUCCAAACAGAAAACACCGUCUUUCUUUUUGACUACAUCUGUCCUCAGAGAUGGUGCUGAUGGAUCCAUUUAUAAUUUAUGUGAAUUUAAACCUUUGCAAUUUUUACAUGGAAUAAAAGGACCUAUUUUCUGGAAAGAAAAUGCUGAACAAGAGCUGAGAACCUGGGGCAAUCUAAGGCAGGGGUUCCUCCCUAACACCCCUGCUGUCAGAAGCCAGCUGGUUGGCCAUAGAUCACUUCACCUAACACCCAGUGCCCAGUCACAUUUGCCCCCAAAUUGUACAACUCAAGCUUAACUUUCACAUAUUUUAAGAUAGUGUCAGCCCCUUUUGCAA